rnacentral:rRNA from 1 species
AGGAUAAACGCUGGCGGCGUGCCUAACACAUGCAAGUCGAACGCGCUUUCGGGCUUCGGUGCGAGAGCGAGUGGCGGACGGGUGAGUAACACAUGGGUACCUACCUUGGAGUGAGGGAUACCGGCGAGAAAUCGCCGACAAUACCGCAUAGGCUUCUUCACAAGGGAAGCAAAGUGACGCGAGUCACGCUUUGAGAUGGGCCUGUGGCCGAUUAGCUAGUUGGGGGGGUAACGGCUUCCCAAGGCGACGAUCGGUAGCUGGUCUGAGAGGACGAUCAGCCACACUGGGAUUGAGAACGGCCCAGACUCCUACGGGGGCAGCAGUGAGGAAUUUUCCGCAAUGGAGGCAACUCUGACGGAGCAACGCCGCGUGCAGGAGGAAGGUUUUCGGAUCGUAAACUGCUUUUCUCGGGGACGAGCAAGGACGGUACCCGAGGAAGAAGCCCGGCUAACUACGUGCCAGCAGCCGC